AUUGAACGCUGGCGGCAUGCUUUACACAUGCAAGUCGAACGGCAGCGCGGGCUUCGGCCUGGCGUCGUGUGGCCAACGGGUGAGUAAUGCAUCCGAACGUGCCCAGUCGUGGGGGAUAGGCCGGCGACAGCCGGCUUAAUCCCGCAUCCGACCUGAGGGUGAACGCGGGGGUUCGAAAGGCCUCGCGCUAUUUGCUCGGCCGUUGUGGGGUUUGCUCGUUGCUGGGGUAAAGGCUUACCAAGGCGGCGUUCCGUGGCUGCUCUGGGAGGACGACCAGCAACACUGGGACUGAGACACGGCCCAGACUCCAACGGGAGGCAGCGUAGGGAAAUUUUGGACAAUGGCGGCAACCCUGAGCCAGCCAGGCGGGUGGCGGGAAGAAGGCCUUCGGGUGGUAAACCGCUUUUGUUCGGGAAGAAAUCCGCUGAGGUAAUACCCCGGGGGAUGACGGUACCGGAAGAAUAAGCACCGGCUAACUACGUG
rnacentral:rRNA from 1 species